UACCUUGUUAGAUUUUUCCUUAUGCCAGUGAUUCUUUAAGUGCACUCCUUGGACCAGCAUCAUCAUCAUCAUCAUCAUCAUCAUCAUCAUGACCUGAGAACUUGUUAGACAUGUAAAUUACUCGGCCCCCCUCCAGGCCUAUUAAAUCAGAAAGUCUUGAGGCGGGGUCCCGCCAUCUGGUCUAACAAGCACUCCAGGUGAUUCUGAUGAAGACUAAGGUUUGCUUACCACUGAUUUCUGCAGUGGACUUGCUGGUUUACGCCCUGGGUCUCUCGCCAUAGUAGAAAAGAGAAUUGGAGAGAUAUGGCUGGACAGAGAGAGAGCAGCAAUGGCAAAGAAGGCACUCUUAAUGGUAAGCUGUUUUGUUCAGCCACGGAGUGUGUUUUCUGCUGCAGCAACGUGUUUUAUCGAUGGAUUUCAAACAUGCAGAUGCUACAUUGGUCUCAAGCAAUUUCAAGGUGGAAUUUCUCUCUCCCCUUCCAUCUCAGGCCUCCAGUCAAGGAAUAGAAUGUGAAGACAUUACAGGUCAUGGGAAAUAUAUAUAAUUUGAAGUUUGGUAAAAUUCAGUGAAGAAAUUAUUCAAGGUUGAGAUGCCUAUUUUAAUUUUUAUGAGAGGAAGACUGGCCCUGAGCUAACAUCUGUGCCUAUCUUCCUCUACUUUAUAUGUGGGAUGCCUGCCACAGCAUGGCUUGCCAAGCGGUGCCAUGUCCACACCCGGGAUCCGAACUGGCGAACCCCAGGCCACUGAAGUGGAAGGUGUGCACUUAACCGCUGCAUCACCAGGCCGGCCCCAGAAGAUUAGCCCUAAGCUAACUACUGCCAGUCCUCCUCUUUUUGCUGAGGAAGCCUGGCUCUGAGCGAACAUCCGUGCCCAUCUUCCUCUAGUUUAUACGUGGGACGCCUACCACAGCAUGGCUGCCAAGCAGUGCCAUGUCCGCACCCAGGAUCCGAACCAGCGAACCCCGGGCCGCCGAGAAGGGGAACGUGCGAACUUAACCGCUGCGCCACUGGGCCGGCCCCAAGCUAAUGCUAUUUUUAAAUUUGAAUGUCAACAAUACAUUAUUAAAUACACUGGAAACACUUAAACCAGAGCAAAAGGCACCACGGAACCAGCAAGGAAAAUUCCUGUACAUGCUUACAGUGUCAUCAAGAAUGAUGCGUAUGCCUUCAACUCAAUAAUAUUUAUGAGAAAAAUCUCAACAUUUCAUUGAGCUAUGUUUUGGGCUGUGAGAGAAAAAUAACUAGAGGCCCACAACCAUUACGUCAAGUCUUACUAAAAGACUUUAGCUCUGGUUUCUACGCUUCCAUAACAUUUUUUUAUUUAACAAUAAUAUUUUUCACCUCCCUUCAAUAUUUCAUGUUCAUUGAUUAUUCUUUCAUCACGACCGCUUGAUCUAGCUUCAUAGAUUUAAUGUUUUCUUGAAUUUGUUUUGUUUCUUACAGUAAAUCUCUUUGAGAUAAAAGUAUUUGUUUUAAUUUUUCAAGGGAGCUUUUGAAUUACAAUACAUUUCCUUGGGUCUAUUGAUUUUCCUCUAAUUAUGUAUCUUUACAAAGAAAUGUCUAGGCAUGCCAAAUAUUCUUUUAUUAUCAAUAAAGUCCAUUUAAGAUGGAUCUCUUGGAAAAUAGACUGGGUCUCUGCCAAAUUCUAAAGCAAGGGAAAAUGGAAAAAAUUACAUUUACUAGAAAUUUCUCCUUCAAUUCAGAUGUCCAGUUUAUUGGCAGAAGUUUAGAGAGGGUCAGAAACAAGAGUAUGCCCAGCAGGGAGUUUCACAUGUAUACGAAAACCUCUUCUCUGUUUUUGCCAUGGAUUCUUAUGUCAGGAAGCAACAUCCAACUCUCAGGCCAGCCCUGCUGCUACUUUCACAGAGAUCGUUGUUUAGCACAGGAGCUUUUGCCAGGAAUAAUUCCUGGGUGAGCCAAGUGAAACAGGUGGAUUCUAUAUUGUGUUGAUUUGGCCAUAUUGUUGAGAGGAAGUCCAGGUGAUAUGCUCUGACUGCCCCACAGCAUGCUUUCCUCUGCAGAUGUGGGCUACCUGAAAUAGGUGGCAUCAAUUUCCUUUCUAGAUGUGCUGCUCUUUUAUUAGAUGUGGCUCAAAAGUCAACCUAAUGUCUUCCUUCAAAUCGAUCACAUUUGUACUAUAUUGAGUGAAAAUUGACAUUUGCCUUUCCCUUCUCUAGCACUCACGUACAUUUUUUCCAUUCAUAUAUACUUUAGUUAUUAUAUUAGUUUAGUUAUUAUUAUUACUAUUAUUAGUAGUAUUGCAUUAGUUUUGUUAUUGUUUUCUAUGGCUGCUAUAAGAAAUUACCAAAGACUGGGUUGCUAAUACAACACAAAUUUAUUCUCCUACAAUUUUGAAGGCCAGAAGUCUGAAAUGGGUUUCACCGGACCAAUAUCAUGGUGUCCCCUGGGCUGUGCUCCCUUUGAAGGCUCUAUGGGAGAAUCCAUUCUUUGUGUUUUCCAGUUCCUGGAGGUUGUCCUUGCUCCUGGGCUCAUGCCUCCAUAGCAUAUUGCAUUUUCUCCCUCUGCUUCCAUCAUCACAUAGUCUCCUUCCUCUUCUGUCUUCA
rnacentral:lncRNA from 1 species